rnacentral:misc_RNA from 1 species
GGAAGGAUCAUUAACAACAUAUCCUAACUAAAACCCCUGUGAACUUUCAACCCCAAGCUCUUGAUCCGAGGAGUUCAGCAAUCUCUGGUAAAUCAUAGUGAACAGCUUUUGAUUCAGAGACCUCUGGAUAUUCCUAGCGCGGUCGAGUGAGGUAAGGCAAGUGACCUGGCACCCUCAAGACCAGUGUUCAGUGAUCUGUCAGUGUUCAUUGACUGGAAUCAAACGUUCUGUCAGUGUGCGUUUGGUUUGCAAGGGUGGCGCAGUAAACGAUCGCUGGAGGCCGACACGGCCGGCGACCGGGUCAGCGAGCUCUGCUCCCACUGUUACGUCAAACCCCAUGUUCCCCUCUAGUGAAAGCUAUUGGGUUAUAACUAAACGACUGUUAACAAUGGAUAUCUCGAUUCUCGCAACGAUGAAGAACGCAGCGAAAUGCGAUACGUAAUGCGAAUUGCAGAUCUCAGUGAAUCAUCGAAUCUUUGAACGCAAAUUGCGCUCUCGGGUUAUCCCCAAGAGCACACCUCUCUGAGUGUCGGUUUAACCUCAUGCCCCAAUUUAUUGGGACGAUAGUCUGAGGGUAAGGGGUCUUGUGCCUUUUUCCCUUUAAAUUCAAGCGCGCGACAAUGUGUGUCGGUGGCAAGUUGCUUUCAGUUAAUUCUGAAUUCAAUCCACUGUCCCUAUGUCGUGUUGCCAAAAGAAACAAUGAUGAAAAGUAGUUUAUUUGGAGUGGGGACAGUUGGGGGCCGAGAACACAUCCAUAUGAACGACUUCGAAUCAACUCUAUGAAUUAGACCUCAGAUGAAGUGGGAAGACCCCCUGAAUUUAAGCAUAUUAUUAAGGGGAGGAAAAGAAACUAACAAGGAUUCCCCUAGUAACGGCGAGUGAAGCGGGAAAAGCUCAAAUUUAAAAUCCAAUGGUCUAACAGCCUUUGGAGUUGUAAUCUAGAGAGGCUCUCUCAGUGCCGGCCUGGUUAUAAGUCCCUUGAAACAGGACAUCAAAGAGGGUGAGAAUCCCGUAUUUGAGCCGGAGCUAAGCACAUACGAGGAGUUUUCUAAGAGUCGCGUUGCUUGGGAGUGCAGCGCUAAAUGGGUGGUAAAGUUCAUCUAAAGCUAAAUACUGGCGAGAGAUCGAUAGCGAACAAGUACCGUGAGGGAAAGAUGAAAAGAACUUUGAAAAGAGAGUUAAAAAGAACUUGAAAUUGUUAACAGGUAAGGGGAGUCAACCAGUAAUUUCUAAGCUUCAUUCGCCUUUUCUUCGGAAGGGGUUACUUGAGGCUAAGAAGAGUUAGCAACACCUGGAUGCCUUUGCAGAAAUCUUAUGGGUUGGUGCGUUUCUUCGGAUUCGUUUAACCUGUUUGCUCUACAUUGGCCCCGGGUGAGGAGUGUAACCCCCGCUUUCGGGCGUUGGUACCCUGGUGUCUGUUUGCCCUAGCGCGUGAGAGAACAAAGUUCUGUCUGUGCAAAAGGUGAAUACUACGUUGGGUGUGCUAAAUGGUGGGUUCGCGUUGCCGACGAAAUGGUUGUCUUCCACCCGUCUUGAAACACGGACCAAGGAGUCUAACAUAUAUGCAAGUAUUUGGCUGACAAAGCCUGAUGCGUAAUGAAAGUAAUGGGCUGAAUAAGCCUGAGGUAGGAAUCUUGCUCUCGGGCAGGAGGCACUAUCGACCGAUCGAACGCUUGCGGAAGAUUUGAGUAAUAGCAUAUCUGUUGGGACCCGAAAGAUGGUGAUCUAUGCCUGAACAGGGUGAAGCCAGGGGAAACUCUGGUGGAAGCUCGUAGCGAUACUGACGUGCAAAUCGUUCGUCUGAUUUGGGUAUAGGGGCGAAAGACUAAUCGAACCAUCUAGUAGCUGGUUCCCUC